GGGAUGUGAUGAGAUCUUGAGAAAGCCAUGCGCCACUCUGAUUUUAGUGAUGUCAAAUUUCUCAUACCAAUAGACCUUUCUGAGUUU
rfam:Solanum lycopersicum cultivar Heinz 1706 chromosome 10, whole genome shotgun sequence.